GACACAGUGAGAAUGCAAAUUCCACAUAGACAGGUAUCUGGGGGUGGAAUUGAACCCAGGUCCAUGGCACUGUGAGGCAGCAGUGCUGGCCACCAAACUACCAUGCUGCUUGCUGUGUUGUGGAUUUAUUUUAUCGUCUUGUUAACUUUUCGACACCAAGCUGUGAACUGCUCUGAUUCAAGGUAAUAUACCUAGGAUGGCAAGUGCAGUUGGAAGUGUUUAUCUGCUUCUAAACCAAUUAUCUCUACCACCCAGAAGGACAAGGGCAACAGAUGUAAUAGGGAGACCAUUAGCACCACAAUUGCCCUUCCCUAAGUCAAACACCAUUCUGAGUUGGAACUAUAUUUUCAUUCCUUCUCUGUUGCUGAGUCAAAAUGUUGAAAAUCCCUUCCUAACAGCACCAGCUCCCCAGGAACUGCUGCAAGUCAAGAAGACAGCUUAUUGCCACCUUCUGAAGAGCAAUUGGAGACGGAUAAAAAGUGCUGGAUUUACUACUCAAGUGCAACUGGAGACAGGCAAUAAAUGCUGGUCCAGUCAGCGAUGCCUGCACCCCAUGAAUGAAUGAAUAAAAAUACAAAAUGGAGAAAUAGGAGGGUUGCUCUGACCUCAAGCUCAUACCCUGUGGUAUGUGGCAAUCCUUGUGAUUCAGGAAUAGGGAGUCAAAGUUCAUCAGAUAUUAAUUCAACACAUGUCCAAGACGGCACGGAUACCCAGAAAUAGAGAAGUCACUUUUGCAAUGUUUGGAUUGACUCAUCUGUGCACAUGACUUGUCAGGUCCAAAUUUGUAUUUUAUACAGUCAGUACAAGAGGACAGAAGAGAAUUAACUCUACUAAUCAAUGCAGACACUCAUUGAUAUCAUUAAAUCAAUCAAUGUUUUUAUACUGAUUCGUAGGACAUGGGCAUUGCUGGCUGGUCCAGCAUUUCUUGCCCAUCCGCAGCUACCCUUGAGAAGGUGGUGGUGAACUGCCUUUUUGAACUGCUGCAG